UACGUAGGGCGCAAGCGUUUGUCCGGAAUUAUUGGGCGUAAAGAGCUCGUAGGCGGUUUGUCGCGUCUGCCGUGAAAGUCCGGGGCUCAACUCCGGAUCUGCGGUGGGUACGGGCAGACUAGAGUGAUGUAGGGGGAGACUGGAAUUCCUGGUGUAGCGGUGAAAUGCGCAGAUAUCAGGAGGAACACCGAUGGCGAAGGCAGGUCUCUGGGCCGAUACUGACGCUGAGGAGCGAAAGCGUGGGGAGCGAACAGG
rnacentral:rRNA from 1 species